UACGAAGGGGGCUAGCGUUGCUCGGAAUCACUGGGCGUAAAGGGUGCGUAGGCGGGUAUUUAAGUCAGGGGUGAAAUCCUGGAGCUCAACUCCAGAACUGCCUUUGAUACUGAGGAUCUUGAGUACGGGAGAGGUGAGUGGAACUGCGAGUGUAGAGGUGAAAUUCGUAGAUAUUCGCAAGAACACCAGUGGCGAAGGCGGCUCACUGGCCCGUAACUGACGCUGAGGCACGAAAGCGUGGGGAGCAAACAGG
rnacentral:rRNA from 1 species